UGGGGAAUUUUGGACAAUGGGCGAAAGCCUGAUCCAGCAAUGCCGCGUGUGUGAAGAAGGCCUUCGGGUUGUAAAGCACUUUUGUCCGGAAAGAAAUCCUUGGCUCUAAUACAGUCGGGGGAUGACGGUACCGGAAGAAUAAGCACCGGCUAACUACGUGCCAGCAGCCGCGGUAAUACGUAGGGUGCAAGCGUUAAUCGGAAUUACUGGGCGUAAAGCGUGCGCAGGCGGUUUGCUAAGACCGAUGUGAAAUCCCCGGGCUCAACCUGGGAACUGCAUUGGUGACUGGCAGGCUAGAGUAUGGCAGAGGGGGGUAGAAUUCCACGUGUAGCAGUGAAAUGCGUAGAGAUGUGGGGGAAUACCGAUGGCGAAGGCAGCCCCCGUGGGCCAAUACUGACGCUCAUGCACGAAAGCGUGGGGAGCAAACAGGAUUAGAUACCCUGGUAGUCCACGCCCUAAACGAUGUCAACUAGUUGUUGGGGAUUCAUUUCCUUAGUAACGUAGCUAACGCGUGAAGUUGACCGCCUGGGGAGUACGGUCGCAAGAUUAAAACUCAAAGGAAUUGACGGGGUCAUAGCUGUUUCCU
rnacentral:rRNA from 1 species